AUAAGUAAGUGCGAAUCGGUAAUCUCCCCUCUGUUCUCUUAGUAGUCGACCUCUUACCACUGUGACAACUGGUCGGCACCCAAUGACGAUGCUGGCGUUAAAUAGGGUUUCAAUAGCUUGUUGGCUCGAACAUUGAGUUCUCUCCCUGCCCUCUCUCUCGUGCGUGCACUCUCUCUGACGGCAUCCAACAACGACAUUGGAGUCAAUAGCUUUCCAUCGGACAGCACCAACCGGCGAUGUCAACGCUAGCAGUUGAUUCUGUCUCUUCACCGCAGCAUUGGACCAACAUCUCAAAGGAUACCAGAUAUAUAGAUAUACAAUGCACGAGCUGUGAGCAAGAUAGAUAUACAAUGCCCUACCUGCCAUGGGUAGUGCUUUAAUGGAGGCAAUUCAUGAUGAGGCAGUGAGCAGAGAAGAAAUUUUUGUUACUUCUAAGCUAUGGGGAUCUGAUCACCAUGACCCCAUUUCCGGACUCAAGCAAACUCUCAAGUAAGGAACAAUAUAUAUGUCUUUUUUUUUCAGUGUUCACAUGCAUUAAGUCAAUUAUACUAGUCCUUAAUUUGACCCAAUACAUAAUUAAUUGCACCAAUCCAAAUAUAUACCAGCUAGCUCUUGCACAGAGAGAAGUGAAGAGGGAGGAAGGUUGUGUGGUCCUUCAAUUUUUUGUGUUUUGUUAGGGAUGGAAUGUGUGGACCUGUACCUGAUACACUGAUCAGCCAAACUAAAGGUGUGGGCAGAUUAUGCUGUACCUAAUGAAGAUGACUUUGAAGAGUUGGACAUGGAGUCUACUUGGGUAGGGAUGGAGAGGUGUUUGGAUAUGGGGCUUUGCAGGUUCAUUGGGGGACAUCUACACACCUACAGGUUCUAUGACGUGUGGACCUUCGUCCUACAGGAUGCAACUUUCAAGAAUGAGGAAUGCCAGGAGAAUGCUGGUAGGGUGAAAAUAGUGGCAUGUGACUCAAAGUUGCUCUCACAAUAAGACUAUCCCUUCUAAAGGAAAUUUGAGACCCAUUCAGAGAAGUGAUUUGGGGGUAGCCCAACUUGCAGAGACCCUUGCAGGAAAUUUGAGA